AAAGUCGUAACAAGGUUUCCGUAGGUGAACCUGCGGAAGGAUCACUAGUGAUUAAACGGGAAGCGUCUUAACUGACCUUCUCACCCUUCACAUCCACAUACACCCUGUGAACUGUUUGGCUUCAACUCUCGAGUUGGGCUCUCCUAUCGAUAGAUUAGCAAUAGUCUAGCGAGAAGAGGGUUCGUCUCGAGAGCGGGAGUCAUCAUUUUUAUACAUACACAAAGUCUAAUGAAUGUAAACGUUUUAUAUAAACAAAAUAAAACUUUCAACAACGGAUCUCUUGGUUCUC
rnacentral:misc_RNA from 1 species